CUCAAAGAUUAAGCCAUGCAUGUCUCAGUAUAAACGAUUUAACAGUGAAACCGCGAACGGCUCAUUACAACAGGUAUAAUUUACUUGAUCUUGAAAGAAUCCUACUUGGAUAACUGUGGUAAUUCUAGAGCUAAUACAUGCCCUAAAGCUCUGACCUCGCGGGAAGAGUGCAUUUAUUAGAUCAAAACCAAGCGGCUUCGGCCGUCUACCACUGACUUAAAGUAACUAAGCUGAUCGUAUGGUCUUGUACCGACGACGUAUCUUUCAAGUAUCUGCCUUAUCAACUUUCGAUGGUAGUGUAGUGGACUACCAUGGUUGUGACGGGUAACGGAGGAUAAGGGUUCGACUCCGGAGAGGGAGCUUGAGACACGGCUACCAUGUCUAAGGACAGCAGCAGGCGCGCAAAUUACCCACUCUCAGAACGAGGAGGUAGUGACGAAAAAUAACGAGACCGUUCUCUAUGAGGCCGGUCAUCGGAAUGGGUACAAUCUAAACCCUUUAACGAGUAUCUAUGAGAGGGCAAGUCUGGUGCCAGCAGCCGCGGUAAUUCCAGCUCUCAAAAUGCAUAGAAUUAUUGCUGCGGUUAAAAAGCUCGUAGUUGGAUCUGUGCUGGGAACUGGGUCCGCCUUCGGGUGUGCACUCAGCUUCCCGGCUUUUUGCUGGUUUUCCCGUUGUGGCCUUUACCGGUUGCAGCGGGUGGCUGGCGAGUUUACCUUGAAGAAAUCAAAGUGCUUAAUACAGGCGAUUUGCUUGAAUGUGGUGCAUGGAAUAAUAGAAAAGGAUUUCGGUUCUCUUUUAUUGGUUUUACGAGCUGAGAUAAUGGUUAACAGAGACAAACGGGGGCAUUCGUAUCGUUGCGUGAGAGGUGAAAUUCUUGGACCGCAGCGAGACGAACUACAGCGAAAGCAUUUGCCAAGAAUGUCUUCAUUAAUCAAGAACGAAAGUCAGAGGUUCGAAGGCGAUCAGAUACCGCCCUAGUUCUGACCGUAAA
rnacentral:rRNA from 1 species